CCCCUAGUAACGGCGAGUGAAGCGGGAAGAGCUCAAAUUUAAAAUCUGGCGGUCUUUGGCCGUCCGAGUUGUAUUCUAGAGAAGUGUUUUCCGCGCUGGACCGUGUACAAGUCUCUUGGAACAGAGCGUCAUAGAGGGUGAGAAUCCCGUCUUUGACACGGACUACCAGUGCUUUGUGAUGCGCUCUCAAAGAGUCGAGUUGUUUGGGAAUGCAGCUCAAAAUGGGUGGUAAAUUCCAUCUAAAGCUAAAUAUUGGCGAGAGACCGAUAGCGAACAAGUACCGUGAGGGAAAGAUGAAAAGCACUUUGGAAAGAGAGUUAAACAGUACGUGAAAUUGCUGAAAGGGAAACGCUUGAAGUCAGUCGCGUUAGCUAGAACUCAGCCUUGCUUUUGCCUGGUGCAUUUUCUAGUUGACGGGCCAGCAUCAGUUUUGAUCGCAGGAUAAAGGUCAGAGGAAUGUGGCACCUUCGGGUGUGUUAUAGCCUUUGAUUGUAUACUGUGGUUGGGACUGAGGAUCACAGCACGCCUUUAUGGCCGGGGUUCGCCCACGUUCGUGCUUAGGAUGCUGGCGUAAUGGCUUUAAACGACCCGUCUUGAAACACGGACCAAGGAGUCUAACAUACCUGCGAGUAUUUGGGUGGUAAACCCGAGUGCGUAAUGAAAGUGAAAGUUGGGAUCCCUGUCGUGGGGAGCACCGACGCCCGGACCAGACCUUCUGUGACGGCUCCGCGGUAGAGCAUGUAUGCUGGGACCCGAAAGAUGGUGAACUAUGCCUGA
rnacentral:rRNA from 1 species